rnacentral:rRNA from 1 species
UUUAACAGAUCCUUUCGGGGAGAAGAUAAGAUGGAUUAGCGGCGGACGGGUGAGUAACACGUGAGUAACCUGCCUUUGACACAGGGAUAGCCUCGGGAAACCGGGAUUAAUACCAGAUAACAUUAUCAGAUCGCAUGAGAAGAUAAUCAAAGCUGAGGCGGUCAAAGAUGGACUCGCGUCCCAUUAGCUAGUUGGUAGAGUAACAGCCUACCAAGGCAACGAUGGGUAGCCGGCCUGAGAGGGUGAACGGCCACAUUGGAACUGAGAAACGGUCCAAACUCCUACGGGAGGCAGCAGUGGGGAAUAUUGCACAAUGGGGGAAACCCUGAUGCAGCGACGCCGCGUGAGCGAAGAAGGUUUUCGAAUCGUAAAGCUCUGUCCUAUGGGAAGAUAAUGACGGUACCAUAGGAGGAAGCCCCGGCUAACUACGUGCCAGCAGCCGCGGUAAUACGUAGGGGGCAAGCGUUGUCCGGAAUCACUGGGCGUAAAGGGUUCGCAGGCGGAAAUGCAAGUCAGUUGUGAAAGGCAGAGGCUCAACCUCUGUAAGCAAUUGAAACUGUAUUUCUUGAGAUGUGGAGAGGCAAGUGGAAUUCCUAGUGUAGCGGUGAAAUGCGUAGAUAUUAGGAAGAAUACCGGUGGCGAAGGCGACUUGCUGGACACAAACUGACGCUGAGGAACGAAAGCGUGGGUAGCAAACAGGAUUAGAUACCCUGGUAGUCCACGCCGUAAACGAUGAGUGCUAGGUGUCGGGGGAGACCUCGGUGCCGCAGUAAACACAAUAAGCACUCCGCCUGGGGAGUACGUGCGCAAGCAUGAAACUCAAAGGAAUUGACGGGGACCCGCACAAGCAGCGGAGCAUGUGGUUUAAUUCGAAGCAACGCGAAGAACCUUACCAGGGCUUGACAUACUGAGGACGUACUUAGAGAUAAGUAUUCUUCUUCGGAAGCCUCAAUACAGGUGGUGCAUGGUUGUCGUCAGCUCGUGUCGUGAGAUGUUGGGUUAAGUCCCGCAACGAGCGCAACCCUU